GGGCUGGGGGCUCAGAAGGCAGCGUCUGGGGCGUCUCCACCAUGGCUUGGGCUCUGCUCCUUGUCACCCUCCUCACUCAGGACACAGGAUCCUGGGCCCAGUCUGGCCCGACUCAGCCUCCCUCAGUGUCCGGGAAUCUGGGACAGACGGUCACCAUCUCUUGUGCUGGAACCAGCAGUUAUGUCGGCUGGUACCAACAGCUCCCAGGCAUGGCCCCCAAAACCCUGAUUUAUGAUAACAAUAAACGGCCUUCAGGGAUCCCUGAUCGCUUCUCUGGCUCCAAGUCUGGGAACACGGCCUCCCUGACCAUCUCUGGGCUCCAGGCUGAGGACGAGGCCGUUUAUUACUGUAGUUCAUAUGCAGGUCAGCCCAAGUCCUCGCCCUCAGUCACUCUGUUCGCGCCCUCCACUGAGGAGCUCAACGCCAACAAGGCCACCCUGGUGUGUCUCAUCAAUGACUUCUACCCGGGCAGCGUGACGGUGGCCUGGAAGUCAGGCAGCACCACCAUCACCAAGGGCGUGGAGACCAGCCAGCCCUCGAAACAGAGCAACAGCAAGUACGCGGCCAGCAGCUACCUGGCCCUGACGGCCAGCGAGUGGAAAUCUUAUGAGAAGGGGGUCAGCUGCCAGGUCACGCACGAUGGGAAAACCGUGGAGAAGACAGUGUCGCCCUCCGAGUGCCCUUAGGUCCUGGUCCUCACAUCCUCAGGGGACUGGAGCCACAGGACCCCUGGAGGGUCUACCCACCCACCCUGGUCCCCCCAGCCCUUCCUCCUGCACCCAAUCAACUCUCAAUAAAAUGUCCUCAUUGUCAUUCAGAA